UGAUUUUGCGAACGCGUUAUCACUUCUUUGGUGAUCUAGCCGUGUGAAUUAUUUUUGAAAUCACGCGUCUAAGUCGCCAAGAUUUGAUGAUGUGUCUAACAACUGGA